GUGCUCACUUUGGCAGCACACAUACUAAAAUUGGAAUGAUACAGAGAAGAUUAGCAUGGCCCUUGCACAAGGAUGACACGCAAAUUCGUAAAGCAUUCCAUAUUUUG
rnacentral:snRNA from 1 species